rnacentral:tRNA from 1 species
GGAUUGUGGCUCAGUGGUAGAGUUCUUGCCUCAUACAGGCAGGACCUGGGUUCAAUCCUCAGCACCA